ACCAGCGGAGGGAUCAUUACCGAGUUUACAACUCCCAAACCCAAUGUGAACCAUACCAAACUGUUGCCUCGGCGGGGUCACGCCCCGGGUGCGUCGCAGCCCCGGAACCAGGCGCCCGCCGGAGGGACCAACCAAACUCUUUACUGUAGUCCCCUCGCGGACGUUAUUUCUUACAGCUCUGAGCAAAAAAUUCAAAAUGAAUCAAAACUUUCAACAACGGAUCUCUUGGUUCUGGCAUCGAUGAAGAACGCAGCGAAAUGCGAUAAGUAAUGUGAAUUGCAGAAUUCAGUGAAUCAUCGAAUCUUUGAACGCACAUUGCGCCCGCCAGUAUUCUGGCGGGCAUGCCUGUCCGAGCGUCAUUUCAACCCUCGAACCCCUCCGGGGGGUCGGCGUUGGGGAUCGGGAACCCCUCAGACGGGAUCCCGGCCCCGUAAUAUUUGUGGCGGUCUCGCCGCAGCCUCUCCUGCGCAGUAGUUUGCACAACUCGCACCGGGAGCGCGGCGCGUCCACGUCCGUAAAACACCCAACUUUCUGAAAUGUUGACCUCGGAUCAGGUAGGAAUACCCGCUGAACUUAAGCAUAUCAAUAAGCGGAGGAAA
rnacentral:rRNA from 1 species